GGCCCAGUAACUCAGCGGUCAGAGUGCCAUUCUUAUAAAAUGGAAGUCGAUGGUUCGAUCCCAUCCUGGGCCA
rnacentral:tRNA from 1 species